rnacentral:tRNA from 1 species
GCGGGAGUCGCCCAGCCUGGCCAAAGGCGCAGGGCUUAGGACCCUGUCUUUUAGGAGUUCGUGGGUUCAAAUCCCACCUCCCGCACCA